UACGGAGGGUGCAAGCGUUAUCCGGAUUCACUGGGUUUGAAGGGUGUGUAGGCGGGUAUUUAAGUCAGUGGUGAAAUCUCUGAGCUCAACUCAGAAACUGCCAUUGAUACUAUUUAUCUUGAAUAUCGUUGAGGUUGGCGGAAUAUAUCAUGUAGCGGUGAAAUGCAUAGAUAUGAUAUAGAACACCGAUUGCGAAGGCAGCUAACUAAGCGAUGAUUGACGCUGAGGCACGAAAGCGUGGGGAUCAAACAGG
rnacentral:rRNA from 1 species